rnacentral:rRNA from 1 species
AUUGAACGCUGGCGGCAGGCCUAACACAUGCAAGUCGAGCGGAUGAAGGGAGCUUGCUCCUGGAUUCAGCGGCGGACGGGUGAGUAAUGCCUAGGAAUCUGCCUGGUAGUGGGGGAUAACGUCCGGAAACGGGCGCUAAUACCGCAUACGUCCUGAGGGAGAAAGUGGGGGAUCUUCGGACCUCACGCUAUCAGAUGAGCCUAGGUCGGAUUAGCUAGUUGGUGGGGUAAAGGCCUACCAAGGCGACGAUCCGUAACUGGUCUGAGAGGAUGAUCAGUCACACUGGAACUGAGACACGGUCGAGACUCCUACGGGAGGCAGCAGUGGGGAAUAUUGGACAAUGGGCGAAAGCCUGAUCCAGCCAUGGCGCGUGUGGGAAGAAGGGCUUCGGAUUGUAAAGCACUUUAAGUUGGGAGGAAGGGCAGUAAGUUAAUACCUUGCUGUUUUGACGUUACCAACAGAAUAAGCACCGGCUAACUUCGUG